AGUGUAACUGCUGGGUCAUAGGGUACCUCUGUAUUCAACUUUUUGAGGAGCCUCCAGACUGUUUUCCAAAGUGGCUGUACCAGCUUGCAUUCCCACCAGCAGU
rnacentral:pre_miRNA from 1 species